rnacentral:snRNA from 1 species
GUGUUUGCUUUGGCAGCACAUGUACUAAAAUUGGAAAGAUACAGAGAUUAGCAUGGCCCCUGAGCAAGGAUGACAUGCAAAUUAGUGAAGCAAUCCAUAGUAAA